rnacentral:rRNA from 1 species
AUGGUAGUUUUGGAUGGCAAUAGGAUGUUGUGUGCAAGAGUCUCCAUGCUAGGGCUUCCAAUUUGUGAUGACACCCAAACAAAGAACCAUGUGCCCUUGCUAAGAAUAAUAAUGAUAAUUACACCGUUAAUUGCUGCUGUGUUAUUGUUAUAUUUGGUUGUCACUGUUUGGAAAAGAAGGGCGCAGCUUACAUUUCCAAGGUGUAAUAAGAUUCCUGGUGUGUUAUGUAAAGUUGCCAACCGGAAGAAAAGAGAAGCAGUUGCCAACCAGAAGAUAAGAGAAGUGGUUGCAUGUUCUAACCACAAGGAGACUCUGAAGAAGAUAUCAUAUGGUGACAUUCUGACAGCUACCAACUGGUUUUCUUCGGUCCAUACUAUCAGCUCAACCUGUACCGGAUCAGUUUAUGUCGGUAGGUUCAAGUCUGACAGGAGCCUAGUUGCUAUCAAAGUAUUCAACCUGAAUGAGCCUGGUGGAUAUGGUAGUUACUUUACCGAGUGUGAGGUGCUACGAAGCACCCGCCACCGGAAUAUAAUGCGGCCUAUGACCCUAUGCUCGACACUUGAUUCAAAAAACCAUGAGUUCAAAGCACUGGUCUUCAAGUUCAUGGUUGAUGGCAGCCUUGACAGAUGGUUGCACUCUGAGCAGCACAAUGUAAUCCCAGACAGAGUGCUAAGCUUUGGCCAGAGGAUAUGCAUAGCAACAGAUGUCGCUUCUGCUCUGGAUUAUGUCCACAACCAACUGACGCCUCCUUUGAUCCACUGUGAUUUGAAGCCACACAAUGUCCUUUUGGACGAUAACAUGACUGCACGGCUCAGUGACUUUGGCUCAGCAAAGUUUCUAUUACCAGGCCAGGUUAUUCGUAAAAGCCUGGUUGAUGUCGGAGGGACUAUUGGAUACAUAGCACCUGAGUACGGGCUGGGCUGCAAGAUCUCUGCAGGAGCUGACGUGUAUAGUUUUGGAGUGCUUCUGCUAGAGUUGCUUACCGGAAAACGACCAACCGAUGAUAUGUUCGUCGAUGGGCUUACCCUUCCCAUUUUCUCUGAAUCCAUGUUCCCUGACCUAGUUGCGGAGAUGCUAGAUCCUCAUAUGGCGCAUGAGGAGCAUCAAGGGUGUGUAGAAGCAUGGAUGCAGAGAUAUGUUGUCCCAUUGGUUGCUCUUGGGCUGUCAUGUACCGUCGAAUCUCUGAAGGACAGACCUGGAAUGAAAGAUGUUUGUGCAAAACUUUCUGCUCUCAGAGACGACUUUCUGGAACGCCAUCAUGACGAUUGA